UACCAACAAAUUUUAGGGCCGCGAGAU
rnacentral:sRNA from 1 species